UUAAAGACUUUGAAAGGAAGAGUAGUUAUAGAAUGUAAUUAAAGCGAGUUGGUGAUGGUGUGAGACCAAUAUGAAGUCUAUAGUGAAGAACAUCCUGGAGUUGCUAACCGAAAUUUUAAAAGAGUAGGCUUAGUCGGAACCAAACCGUUAUCAUAUUGGGGUGUAUCGAGUAAUAUCUGUACAUUGUGAGCUGGGUUUGAAUUUAUUUCAAACUAAUCAGGGUGGUACCGCGGAAAAGCAACCUUUCGUCCCUUUU
rfam:Clostridium difficile 630 complete genome